UUGCAGUCGAGCGGUAAGGCUCCUUCGGGAGUACACGAGCGGCGAACGGGUGAGUAACACGUGAGCAAUCUGCCCUUCACUUCGGGAUAACUCCGGGAAACCGAAGCUAAUACCGAAUACGACCACUUCAGGCAUCUGAUGGUGGUGGAAAGUUCCGGCGGUGAAGGAUGAGCUCGCGGCCUAUCAGCUUGUUGGUGGGGUAACGGCCCACCAAGGCUUCGACGGGUAGCCGGCCUGAGAGGGUGACCGGCCACACUGGGACUGAGACACGGCCCAGACUCCUACGGGAGGCAGCAGUGGGGAAUAUUGGACAAUGGGCGAAAGCCUGAUCCAGCAACGCCGCGUGAGGGAUGACGGCCUUCGGGUUGUAAACCUCUUUCAGUAGGGACGAAGCGCAAGUGACGGUACCUACAGAAGAAGCACCGGCCAACUACGUGCCAGCAGCCGCGGUAAUACGUAGGGUGCGAGCGUUGUCCGGAAUUAUUGGGCGUAAAGGGCUCGUAGGCGGUCUGUUGCGUCGGGAGUGAAAACUCAGGGCUUAACCCUGAGCCUGCUUCCGAUACGGGCAGACUAGAGGUAUGCAGGGGAGAACGGAAUUCCUGGUGUAGCGGUGAAAUGCGCAGAUAUCAGGAGGAACACCGGUGGCGAAGGCGGUUCUCUGGGCAUUACCUGACGCUGAGGAGCGAAAGUGUGGGGAGCGAACAGGAUUAGAUACCCUGGUAGUCCACACCGUAAACGUUGGGCGCUAGGUGUGGGACUCAUUCCACGAGUUCCGUGCCGCAGCUAACGCAUUAAGCGCCCCGCCUGGGGAGUACGGCCGCANGGCUAAACUCAAAGGAAUUGACGGGGGCCCGCACNAGCNGNGGANCAUGCGGA
rnacentral:rRNA from 1 species